GUUUGCAUAACUUAUAACCAGGCCCCUCCUGGCUCCAACUGCCGAACCGUCAAUGUUAAACAUUAACCAAGACUCACACAGAGUUCAACCUGAAACAGGACCUCAAACGUGCUCCGGGUAAAGAAACACUGCCCUUUUCCGAGUCUUAAGGAGUGUAAACGUUUUUUGCAUCUUGUUAAAUUAUCUCCUGCUGAGUUAUAAGAAGUUGGCUUUACAAGCAGGCUCGUGAGGACGGGACCGCCACUGGACAGACGAGGAGACAGAGAAGCAUAGUGCAGCAAAUAGGGGCAUGGAGGCCCCAGGCGCCGUGGUCCCCCCAGGGGACUGGAUUGAUGUUGUUGUGCAGCGCUUGCACACCGAGCCCUGGGCGUUGGCCGGUGCCGUGGUGAUCGCCGUGUUUGUGCUGGGGAUCCUCGCCCUGGCAGUGUUCGCCUUCCUCUUUGGAUGCUGCUGCACUCCCAAAGGGAAGCGCAAGAAGUCCAGGGACGCAGUGCUUUAGUUUAGACUUUUGUGUGUGUGUGUGUGUGUGUGUGUGUGUGUGUGUGUGUGUGUGUGUGUGUGUGUGUGUGUGUGUGUGUGUGU